GUUCAGUGGAAAGCGAGAUCCUGGGAAGUCCCUGCACAGGUUUGUUUUUCCCCCUAUCCCUGCAUGAUGACAUGGAGAAAAUUCAAAUGCAGUUCAGUCAACAGGAGAGAAUACUCCAAGCUGUUGGACAUGUUAUCAAAGAAACAGUUGUAUGUUUAAAUCUCCACUCUGAAAAGGUGAACAGCAGCAGACCCCAAAUGGGUGCAACUGACCGAAAGGGCACCUGGGUUUGAACAAAGGACCACUUGAUCUGCAAUCAAACACUCUACCCCUGAGCUGUACCCCCAGUGCAACAGGCGUAUGGAAUCGUGAUCUCCAGGACUUUGAAGGACAGACCCUGCUUCAUCGCCUCCUUUGCCAUUCACAGACCA